UACGAAGGGGCUAGGCGUUGUUCGGAAUUACUGGGCGUAAAGCGUGCGCAGGCGGUUUUCAAGUCAGAGGUGAAAGCCCCGGGCUACCAACCCGGGAAUGGCCUUUGAGACUGGAAAGCUAGAGUGUGAGAGAGGUGAGUGGAAUUCCCAGUGUAGAGGUGAAAUUCGUAGAUAUUGGGAAGAACACCCGUGGCGAAGGCGGCCCCUGGCCGAACCUGACGCUGAGGCGCGAAGGCUAGGGGAGCGAACGGG
rnacentral:rRNA from 1 species